rnacentral:rRNA from 1 species
AUUGAACGCUGGCGGCAGGCCUAACACAUGCAAGUCGAGUGGAGCGGCGGACGGGCGAGUAAUGCCUAGGAAUCUGCCUGGUAGUGGGGGUUAACGCCCGGAAACGGGCGCUCAUACAGCAUACUAUCAGAUGAGCCUAGGUCGGCUUAGCUAGUUGGUGGGGUAAAGGCCUACCAAGUCGACGAUCCGUCACUGGUCUGAGAGGAUGAUCAGUCACACUGGAACUGAGACACGGGCCAGAAUCCUACGGGAGGCAGCAGUGGGGAAUAUUGGACAAUGGGCGAAAGCCUGAUCCAGCCAUGCCGCGUGUGUUAAGAAGGUCUUCGGAUUGUAAAGCACUUUAAGUUGGGAGGCGUUACCAACAGAAUAAGCACCGGCUAACUUCGUGCCAGCCGCCGCGGUAAUAC